UUGUAUCUUCUGUUUCAUUAUCUAAUUGAAUAUUUUGUCUGUUUAAUAUAAUUUAACUUUAUUUAAUGUUUAAUUUUCUUUUUAAAAGUUUUAUUGUAUUGAAUGUUAUUUCCUUUGAUUUAAUUGCUUUUUUUAAAUGUAGUUUAUUUCUUUAAUUUUUUUUUCUGUCAAGAUUUUAACCCCAACCUUAAAAAUGAAACAAACCCUUAAAUCACAAUGAAAAUACUUCUUUUUUCACAAUCAUGAGUUAGUCAAUUAUUCAGUUUAUCAAUUCAACUUUAUUUGUUUAGCACCUUUCACACAGAUGACAAAACUAAACAAGCAAAGAGAAAAAAAAGGAUGCUAAAACUAUGAUUAAAACUCAAAAACAUAUUUUUAAAAAAAGAUUUAACAUGGUAAUAAAAUAUGUUGUGUCCAGGGGAUGGAGGGAGUUUAUUGAAGUCUUUUUGGGCUCACAUGGGAAAUCAUUUACAAUAUAAACUUGAUAUUCCGUCUAAGGAAACUGCAGAAUGACAGAAGAACCAACAAUAUCUCCUGUUUUCUCCUUUAAUGAGUCGACUCUUCUUGUGCUUUCAGACUAAAGAACUACAGACUCUUCACAACCUGCUCAAACUCUUGGUACAGGACCUCACCACACGGGUCAAGAAGGUUUCUGUCUCAUUUCUACUCUGAAGAUCACCUUCUCCUGCUCAAACUGCUGACAAAUGUUUCUGCUGCUCUACAGUCUGGUCUCCAGAACUUCCUAAAAACUCUCAAAGUCUCUUCUGCUGCAGGUUGCUUUGUAGAACUGUUCCAGAAAACCUCACUAAACCACAUGGAGGGGCCUCAAGAUAGUCAUCCAAAUGAAACCAUACAAAAACCAAACUAGCACAACCCAAACACUGAAGUCUCCUGCAGCCUACCAGAGAACCUCUGAGAACAGAGAAUCAGGACAGGAACUCUUACCUUCUGGACAACCAACGAUGGUUCACAAACAAGAAUACAGAAUGUGUCUGACCAAAAACCUCGAAAGACUCACUACAGCCAAGAUAAAGACACAACUCAGCUGCACCAAAUCCACUAAUCACUGCACACAUUAGCACCAUGUGCUAACUGUGGCUCAAGAACCACAUUUACCAAGACAACUAUCCAGUACAAAGCCCUAAAACACACCAAGAAACACAUUAAAGACGAUUUUACUGCUGGAAGCUGCAAGCCAACGCCUAAAGAACAAAUUAAAGCAAUGGAGCCAAACGGUUCAGUGGUGAAGACAAGCAGAGGAAAUGUUUGUCUGCAGCUAAAUAAAGCAGGAAGACACUGAGCUGCUCAGGUGUUCCUGAUAACACCAAGCAGCCACCUGGACAGCCAAUAGGAACACAGCUUACUGGAAGUCCAGAGGGCUGGGCUAGUGAAGGAAAUUUAGUUUAAAGUUGAAGCAGAAAGUUAACAAAGAAAGUUGAAAACCACCUUCUGAUACCUGAAAUCUCUGAGUUUUCACACAAAGAACACCUGAACAUGUCAAACUGUUUCCAUAGUAGAACCAUCAUUGUAAAAACGUCAUAGUAUGGUGUGUUGCUCAAAAAACAUUACAACCCGGCUGUCUAGAGUCACAGAGGAGCAACACAAAAACAGGACAAACGCUGGUUUCCAGGGGGUUAGGCAGCUAUUUAUUUGAAAGAGUAAGUUUACAACAACACAACAUGUGAGCAGAAAAAUCACAAAGUCUGUCUUUAGUUCAGCUGAAAAUAUUAGUUUUUGUCUUUUUUAUUGACCAAACUUUUCAGGAAGUAGAUGAAGAAUAAUUAAAGCUCUCAUGUAGAAGUCCAACUUAUUUUGGAUCCUUGUGGAGAGUUUAAUCUUAGAGUUUGUAAAGCUGUUGAGUUUUUAGAGUCACAUGGAUUGUUUUGACAUUUAAUAACCGAGUCCUGAAAUAAAAUUACAGUUGUGGAUUUCUGUCAUUUAGUCUGGACUAAAACAACAGCAGCAUAAAUCUCAAAGGUCAUUAUGAGGAGUCUGGAUUGAGGUUUCUCACUUGAUAAUGAUCAAAACAUGAAAUUUAGGUUGGUUUAAAGGAAUAUUCCACCUUAAAUCUUUGAAUGUUGACCUAAAAGGUUGGUUUCAAUUCAAUUCCAAUUCAAUUCAAUUUUAUUUAUAUAGUGUCAAUUACAGUCAAAUUGUCUCGAGACGCUUUACAGAACCCAUAUGCCUGACCCCCAGAGCAAGCCAAAAGGCGACAGUGGCAAGGAAAACACCCUUUUAACAGGGAAAAAAACCUCGAGCAGAACCCGGCUCUAAUGUGGGGGGACCCAUCUGCCUGCUGGCCGGGCGGGUUGAGAGGGACAGAAGAGGUAGAAAGGUAGAGAUAGAGGGGUAGAGAUAGAGGUAGAGGGUUACAGUUGGUGGGAGAACAACUACACAUCUGAAGCAUCCAGCUCUGGGACCAGGGACACUCAGAGAAAGGACACAGGGAGUAUUCCACCUACAAGGUCCUCAAACAUCCACCUUAAAAGGACAUUCCACCAAAAAUCCUUGGACAUGCACCUAAAAUGUUGGUUUAACCGAAUAUUCCAUCCAAAAUCCUCAAAGAGACCUGAGGGGCUGGUUAAAAGGAAUAUUCCACCUAAAACCUCAAAUAUAGACCCAAAAGGGUGGUUUAGAAAAAAUCCUUCAAUGUAGACCAAAAAAGUUAGUAUGGGGGAAUAUUCCACCUGAAAUGUAGACCUGAGAAGUUGGUUUGGAAGAAUAUACCAUCCUAAACAUCCUUAAAUGUAGACUAAAAGAUGGUUUGGAAGAAAAUUCCACCUAAAAUCCUCCAAUGUAGACCAAAAAAUCUUGGUGUAAAGGAGUAUUCCACCUUAAAUGUAGACCUAAAGGAUGGUUUGGAAUAAUAUUCUACUCUAAAAUCUUCCAAUGUAGAUCUAAAAGGUUGAUCUGAUGGUAUAUUCUACUCAACAUCUUGGAACAUUUACCUAAAAGGUUGGUUUAAUGGUAUAUUCCCAGAAGAACCCCUGAACAUCAGGCUUAAUGGUAUAUUCCACCCAAAAUACUUGUACAUACACCAAGAAGUCAGUGUAAAGGAAAUGUAGACCUAAAAGGAUUGUUUAAAGGAAUAUUUAAACGAUUAUUUUCAUUAUUUAAUAAUCUGUUAUCAGUCAGAACCCUGACAAACUUAUUUUCAUCAGUUUUUUAGUGGAAGUCACAAAUAAAGGAGCUCUUGGUUUU